rnacentral:tRNA from 1 species
AUCUAAGUAGUUUAAUUUUUAAAAUACUGGUUUGUGGUGCCGGUGAUGUAGUUUUACCUUGGAUU